rnacentral:rRNA from 1 species
CCUACGGGUGGCAGCAGUGGGGGAUAUUGCACAAUGGGGGAAACCCUGAUGCAGCGACGCCGCGUGGGCGAAGAAGUAUUUCGGUAUGUAAAGCUCUAUCAGCAGGGAAGAAAGGAAUGACGGUACCUGACUAAGAAGCCCCGGCUAACUACGUGCCAGCAGCCGCGGUAAUACGUAGGGGGCAAGCGUUAUCCGGAUUUACUGGGUGUAAAGGGAGCGUAGACGGUUACGCAAGUCUGGAGUGAAAGGCGGGGGCCCAACCCCCGGACUGCUUUGGAAACUGUAUAACUGGAGUGCAGGAGAGGUAAGUGGAAUUCCUAGUGUAGCGGUGAAAUGCGUAGAUAUUAGGAGGAAUACCAGUGGCGAAGGCGGCUUACUGGACGGUAACUGACGUUGAGGCUCGAAAGCGUGGGGAGCAAACAGGAUUAGAUACCCGUGUAGUC